GGUUUGAUCAUGGCUCAGAAUGAACGCUGGCGGGAUGCUUUACACAUGCAAGUCGAACGGCAGCACGGACUUCGGUCUGGUGGCGAGUGGCGAACGGGUGAUAAUGUAUCGGAACGUGCCUAGUAGCGGGGAUAACGCGAAAGCGUAGCCAUACCGCAUACUGGCCCUUCGGGGGAAAGCGGGGGACCUUCUCGGGCCUCGCACUAUUAGAGCGGCCGAUAUCGAUUAGCUGCUGGUGGGCAAUGGCUCACUGUUGCGACGAUCCGUAGCUGGUUUGAGAGGACGACCAGCCACACUGGGACUGAGACACGCCUGACCGCCGGAGCAGUGUGUUCCCGGAAUGUGAACCUGAUCCAGCCAUCAUCCCGCGUGUGCGAUGAAGGCCUUCUGGUUAAAGCAACUGCAGGAGGUAAGAAACGCACCGGGAUGAGACAUUCUGCGCAAAACGACGGUACCUGCAGAAUAAGCACCGGCUAACUACGCCAGUAGCCGCGGUACACAGGGCAGUGCAAGCAAAGCAAUCGGAACACCAUGUAUGCGCAGGCGGUUCGAAAAAGAAAGAUGAAAUCCCAGAGCUUAACUUUGGAACUGCAUUUUUAACUACCGAGCUAGAGUGUGCCGAGGGAGUGUGGAAUUCCGCGUGUAGCAGUGAAAUGCGUAGAUAUGUGGAGGAACACCGAUGGCGAAGGCAGCCUCCUGGGAUAACACUGACGCUCGCACGAAAGCGUGGGGAGCAAACAGGAUUAGAUACCCUGGUACACGCCCCAAACGAUGCUUCAACUAGCUGUUGGGGCCUUCGGGCUCGGUAGCGCAGCUAACGCGUGAAGUUGACCGCCUGGGGGAGGCAUGGCCGCAAGAUUAAAACUCAAAGGAAUUGACGGGGACCCGCACAAGCGGUGGAUGAUGUGGAUUAAUUCGAUGCACGCAAAACCUUACCUACCCUGACAUGUCUGGAAUCCCGAAGAGAUUUGGGAGUGCUCGCAAGAGAACCGGAACACAGGUGCUGCAUGGCUUGCCGUCAGCUCGUGUCGUGAGAUGUUGGGUUAAGUCCCGGCAACGAGCAGUAACCCUUGUCAUUAGUUGCUACGAAAGGGCACUCUAAUGAGACCGCCAGACAAACCGGAGGAAGGUGGGGAUGACGUCAAGUCCUCAUGGCCCUUAUGGGUAGGGCUUCAGCACGUCACAAUGGCUGGACAGAGGUCGCUAACCCGCGAGGGGGAGCCAAUCCCAGAAACCCGAUCGUAGUCCGGAUCGCAGUCUGCAACUCGACUGCGUGAAGUCGGAAUCGCUAGUAUCUGCGAUCAGUGAACGUGGUGAAUACGUUCCUGGCCCGCGGCGACACCGCCCGUCGCCACCAUGGAUAUGGCCUCUACCCAGAAGUAGUUAGCCUAACCGUAAGGAGGGCGAUUACCGUGUUUUGUGAUCAUGACUGGUGAAGUCGUAACAAGGUAA
rnacentral:rRNA from 1 species